rnacentral:rRNA from 1 species
UGGGGAAUAUUGGACAAUGGGCGCAAGCCUGAUCCAGCAAUGCCGCGUGUGUGAAGAAGGCCUGCGGGUUGUAAAGCACUUUCAGUGGGGAGGAAAAGCGGGUGCCUAAUACGUGCCUGACUUGACGUUACCCACAGAAGAAGCACCGGCUAACUCCGUGCCAGCAGCCGCGGUAAUACGGAGGGUGCAAGCGUUAAUCGGAAUUACUGGGCGUAAAGCGCACGUAGGUGGUGAUGUCAGUCAGAUGUGAAAGCCCUGGGCUCAACCUGGGAACUGCAUCUGAUACUGCAUGGCUAGAGUUUGGUAGAGGAGAGUGGAAUUUCCGGUGUAGCGGUGAAAUGCGUAGAUAUCGGAAGGAACACCAGUGGCGAAGGCGACUCUCUGGACUAAAACUGACACU